UACGAAGGGGGCUAGCGUUGCUCGGAAUCACUGGGCGUAAAGGGUGCGUAGGCGGUUCUUUAAGUCAGGGGUGAAAUCCUGGAGCUCAACUCCAGAACUGCCUUUGAUACUGAAGGUCUUGAGUUCGGGAGAGGUGAGUGGAACUGCGAGUGUAGAGGUGAAAUUCGUAGAUAUUCGCAAGAACACCAGUGGCGAAGGCGGCUCACUGGCCCGAUACUGACGCUGAGGCACGAAAGCGUGGGGAGCAAACAGG
rnacentral:rRNA from 1 species